AUUGAACGCUGGCGGCAGGCCUAACACAUGCAAGUCGAACGAGUGGCGGACGGGUGAGUAAUGUCUGGGAAACUGCCUGAUGUAGGGGGAUAACUCCUGGAAACGGUACCUAAUACCGCAUACCAUCAGAUGUGCCCAGAUGGUAUUAGCUAGUUGGUGGGGUAACGGCUCACCAAGGCGACGAUCCCUAGCUGGUCUGAGAGGAUGACAAGCAACACUGGAACGGAGAAACGGUCCAGACUCCGACGGGAGGCAGCAGUGGGGAAUAUUGCACAAUGGGCGCAAGCCUGAUGCAGCCAUGCCGAGUGUAUGAAGAAGGCCUUCGGGUUGUAAAGUACUUUCAGCGGGGAGGCGUUACCCGCAGAAGAAGCACCGGCUAACUCCGUGCCAGCAGCCGCGGUAAUUC
rnacentral:rRNA from 1 species